rnacentral:piRNA from 1 species
UGCCUAAAAUGCUGUUCCAGUCCAGUGU